UACAGAGGGGGCAAGCGUUAUUCGGAAUUAUUGGGCGUAAAGAGCUCGUAGGCGGUGUGUCACGUCGGCCGUGAAAACCUGCAGCUUAACUGUGGGCGCGCGGUCGAUACGGGCAUCACUGGAGUUCGGAAGAGGCGAGUGGAAUUCCUGGUGUAGCGGUGGAAUGCGCAGAUAUCAGGAGGAACACCAAUAGCGAAGGCAGCUCGCUGGGACGGUACUGACGCUGAGGUGACGAAAGCGUGGGGAGCAAACAGG
rnacentral:rRNA from 1 species